rnacentral:rRNA from 1 species
UACAGAGGGUGCGAGCGUUGUCCGGAAUCACUGGGCGUAAAGGGCGCGUAGGCGGCCUGAUAAGUCGGGGGUGAAAUCCUGUGGCUCAACCACAGGGCUGCCUCCGAGACUGUCGGGCUCGAGCACAGUAGAGGCAGGUGGAAUUCCCGGUGUAGCGGUGGAAUGCGUAGAGAUCGGGAAGAACAUCGGUGGCGAAGGCGGCCUGCUGGGCUGUUGCUGACGCUGAGGCGCGACAGCGUGGGGAGCAAACAGGAUUAGAAACCCUCGUAGUCC